UUACGGCCAUAUCGCGUUGAAAUAUUGGUUCACAUCCGGUCAACAAAGUUAAGCAAGGUUGAGCCUGGUCGGUACUUAGAUGGGUGUUUGUUCCGGAAUAUCAGGUGCUGUAAU